rnacentral:rRNA from 1 species
GAUGAACGCUGGCGGCGUGCCUAAUACAUGCAAGUCGAGCGAACAGAUGAGGAGCUUGCUCCUCUGACGUUAGCGGCGGACGGGUGAGUAACACGUGGAUAACCUACCUAUAAGACUGGGAUAACUUCGGGAAACCGGAGCUAAUACCGGAUAAUAUAUUGAACCGCAUGGUUCAAUAGUGAAAGACGGUUUUGCUGUCACUUAUAGCUGGAUCCGCGCCGCAUUAGCUAGUUGGUAAGGUAACGGCUUACCAAGGCAACGAUGCGUAGCCGACCUGAGAGGCUGAUGGCCCAGACAAGGUUUGAGACCUCUUCGACAGUCCUACGGGAGGCCGCAGUCGGGAACCAACCGCACUGGCCGCCAGCCUGACCGACCGCCCCCGCGUGAGUGAUGAACGCCUUGGGUUCGUAGAGCGCUGUAAUGCGGGAAGAAGAAAUGUCUAAGUAACCAUGCACGUCUUGACGCUACCCAGACAGAAAGGCGCGGCUAACUACGUG